rnacentral:rRNA from 1 species
UACAGAGGUCUCAAGCGUUGUUCGGAUUCAUUGGGCGUAAAGGGUGUGUAGGUGGCGCCGUAAGUCGGGUGUGAAAUUUCGGAGCUUAACUGCGGAACUGCAUUGGAAACUAUUUGACUAGAGGAAUGGAGGGGAGACUGGAAUACUUGGUGUAGCAGUGAAAUGCGUAGAUAUCAAGUGGAACACCAGUGGCGAAGGCGAGUCUCUGGACAUUUCCUGACGCUGAGGCACGAAAGCCAGGGGAGCAAACGGG